rnacentral:rRNA from 1 species
GACGAACGCUGGCGGCGUGCCUAACACAUGUAAGUCGAACGGGACUGGGGGCAACUCCAGUUCAGUGGCAGACGGGUGCGUAACACGUGAGAAACUUGUCCAUCGGUGGGGGAUAGCCGGCCCAACGGCCGGUUAAUACCGCGUACGAUCGUUUAGGGGCAUCCCUGAAUGAUGAAAGCAUCGCAAGAUGCGCCGGCGGAGAGUCUCGCGACCUAUCAGCUAGUUGGCGGGGUAACGGCCCACCAAGGCGACGACGGGUAGCUGGUCUGAGAGGAUGGCCAGCUACAUUGGGACUGAGACACGGCCCAGACUCCUACGGGAGGCAGCAGUGGGGAAUCUUGCGCAAUGGCCGCAAGGCUGACGCAGCGACGCCGCGUGUGGGAUGACGGCCUUCGGGUUGUAAACCACUGUCGGGAGGAACGAAUACGCGAUGAUGAAUCGUGGGUGACGGUACCUCCAAAGGAAGCACCGGCUAACUCCGUGC